ACUCUACGGGAGGCUGCAGUAGGGAAUCUUCCACAAUGGGCGCAAGCCUGAUGGAGCAACGCCGCGUGUGUGAUGAAGGCUUUCGGGUCGUAAAGCACUGUUGUAUGUGAAGAAAUGCUAAAAUAGGGAAUGAUUUUAGUUUGACGGUACCAUACCAGAAAGGGACGGCUAAUACGUGCCAGCA
rnacentral:rRNA from 1 species